rnacentral:ncRNA from 1 species
AACCGGGGGAGCUUGUGAAACAGGCUGAGAGGAAGGUAUGACCUUCGACCCAUGAACCUGAUUUGGAUAAUGCCAACGUAGGGAAAUUGA